rnacentral:snoRNA from 1 species
ACGACCUUACUUGAACAGGAUCUGUUCUAUAGGCUCGUACAUCUGUAUCCUUGAGUUCUAAGGAGACAGGAAUCAAAGUCUGGUUGAUGAAUUCGGACCGUACGAUCAGAGCGUGAAUAAUAACCUGGGAGCUCAAGAUUUGGGUUUCUACGGCCGUUGAGGAUCGUUCUCGGUCAUCUGAUGGCUGGGAUGGUCGCACGGUUGUCUGACAGACU